CAGGUAGUAACAGAGGGUUUGAUCAUGGCUCAGAUUGAACGCUGGCGGGAUGCUUUACACAAGCAAGUCGAACGGCAGCACGGACUUCGGUCUGGUGGCGAGUGGCGAACGGGUGAGUAAUGUAUCGGAACGUGCCUAGUAGCGGGGAUAACUACGCGAAAAGGGCUAAUACCGUAUACGCCUUUCGGGAAAGCGGGGGACCUUCGCCUCGCACUAUUAGGAGCGGCCGAUAUCGGAUUAGCUAGUUGGUGGGGUAACGGCUCACCAAGGCGACGAUCCGCAGCUGGUUUGAGAGGACGACCAGCCACACUGGGACUGAGACACGGCCCAGACUCCUACGGGAGGCAGCAGUGGGGAAUUUUGGACAAUGGGGGGAAACCCUGAUCCAGCCAUCCCGCGUGUGCGAUGAAGGCCUUCGGGUUGUAAAGCACUUUUGGCAGGAAAGAAACGGCACGGGAUAAUACCCCGUGCAACUGACGGUACCUGCAGAAGCACCGGCGACCACGCCAGCAGCCGCGGUAACAUAGGUGCAAGCGUUAAUCGGAAUUUACGGGCGUAAGCGUGCAGGCGGUUCGGAAAGAAAGAUGUGAAAUCCCAGAGCUUAACUUUGGAACUGCAUUUUUGAACUACCGAGCUAGAGUGUGUCAGAGGGAGGUGGAAUUCCAGCGUGGCAGUGAAAUGUGGUAGAUAUGCGGAGGAACACCGAUGGCGAAGGCAGCCUCCUUCGGGAUAACACUGACGCUCAUGCACGAAAGUGGGAGCAAACAUAGAUUAGAUACCUGGUAGUCCACGCCCUAAACGAUGUCAACUAGCUGUUGGGGCCUUUCGCCUGGUAGCAGCUAAUGGUGCGUGAAGUUAACGCCCAGAGUACGGCUCAAAGAUUAAAACCCGAAGCGAAUUGAUUUGGACCGCACAAGCGGUGGAUAUGUGGAUUAAUUUGAUGCAACGCGAAAACCUUACCUACCCUUGACAUGUCUGGAAUCCUGAAGAGACGGGAGUGCUCGCAAGAGAACCGAACACAGGUGCUGGCAUGGCUGUCGUCGCCGUGUCGGUGAUGUUGGGUUAAGUCCCGCAACGAGCGCAACCCUUGUCAUUAGUUGUUGCGCGCACUCUAAUGACUGCCGGUGACAAACCGGAGGAAGGUGGGGAUGACGUCAAGUCCUCAUGGCCCUUAUGGUAGGGCUUCACACGUCAUACAAUGGUCGGGACAGAGGGUCGCCAACCUGCGAGGGGAGCCAAUCCUGAGAAACCGAUCAACCGGACCGCAGUCUGCAACUCGACUGCGUGAAGUCGGAAUCGCUAGUAAUCGCGGAUCAGCAUGUCGCGGUGAAUACGUUCCGGCCUGUACACACCGCCCGUCACACCAUGGGAGUGGGUUUUACCAGAAGUAGUUAGCUUAACCGGCAGAGGGCGAUUACCACGGUAGGAUUCAUGAUCAGGGUGAAGUCGUAACAAGGUAG
rnacentral:rRNA from 1 species